UUUAAUUAAAUUAUGUGGUGACCAAGUGAAUUCUAGAAAUUAUUAAAUUGAUGUUUUGUGUUGUGGUCGAGUUGAAAGUGUUUAGUUGAGCUUUAUGUAAGUUGGAAGUGGUUUUUAUUUGAGUUUCAUAUGAGUUGGAAGUGUUUAGUUGAUAAUUUAUGUGUGAUUGAGAUUUGCUUAUGGUGAUUGUGGCGGUUGCCAAUGAGUAUUGUUCUAAACAAAAAUUGAUAUGGUGAAAUAAAUUAUAUUAUUUGGAUGUUUUGGUUAUUACUCAUUAUAAAAUAAAAUGCUCUGUCUGUGCACUAUUUAUGUCAGAUACGACAGAUUUAGAUGCUCUGUCUGUGCAAUAUUUAUGUCAGGUACGACAUAUUUAAAUGUUCUGCCUGUUCGAUAUCUAUAUAGGUACGACAGAAUUUAGUGCUCUGCUUGUGCUUUAUUUCAUGCCAAGUAUGACAGAUUUGAGUGCUCUGCCCAUGAGAGAUUAUACCGGGACAUCCUACAAAUCGUGCGGGAUAGUGUUUUGUUGGGUUGUGCCACGGUGUAGCAUCUUUCGUGGAUGUUUUCAUUUGCACACAUCUAUAUAGACUUUUUGUUGUUUUUUUUAUAAACUUAUAAAAUGUUGAAAGGUCGGAGGCCUAAUUAUCAUAUUCUCAUAAUCUUUUGAAAUGAGUAAAGAUGUAAAUUAUUUUGUUAUGUAUGUGAUAAGGCCAGAGGCCUGAUUUUAGGUUUAUUUUCUGAUUUCUUGGUUUUAAA